rnacentral:rRNA from 1 species
GAUGAACGCUGGCGGCGUGCCUAAUACAUGCAAGUCGAGCGAACAGACGAGGAGCUUGCUCCUUUGACGUUAGCGGCGGACGGGUGAGUAACACGUAGGUAACCUACCUAUAAGACUGGGAUAACUUCGGGAAACCGGAGCUAAUACCGGAUAAUAUUUCGAACCGCAUGGUUCGAUAGUGAAAGAUGGCUUUGCUAUCACUUAUAGAUGGACCUGCGCCGUAUUAGCUAGUUGGUAAGGUAACGGCUUACCAAGGCAACGAUUCGUAGCCGACCUGAGAGGGUGAUCGGCCACACUGGAACUGAGACACGGUCCAGACUCCUACGGGAGGCAGCAGUAGGGAAUCUUCCGCAAUGGGCGAAAGCCUGACGGAGCAACGCCGCGUGAGUGAUGAAGGUCUUCGGAUCGUAAAACUCUGUUAUUAGGGAAGAACAAACGUGUAAGUAACUGUGCACGUCUUGACGGUACCUAAUCAGAAAGCCACGGCUAACUACGUG